CCUACGGGUGGCAGCAGUGAGGAAUAUUGGACAAUGGUCGAAACACUGAUCCAGCGACGCCGCGUGAGUGAAGAAGGUUCUCGGUACGUAAAACUCUAUCAGUAAGGAAGAAAAUGACGGUACGUGACUAAGAAUCCCCGGCUAAAUACGGGCCAGCAGCCGCAGGAAUACGGCGGGAGCCACGGUGAUACGGAUUUUAGGGGUGUAAAGGGAGCGUAGUCGGGUGCAAAAGUCCGGAGGUAAAGCCCGGGGCUUAACCCCGGAGCUGCAUGGGAAACUGGGCGGCUGGAGUGCAGGAGGGGUAAGCGGAAUGCCUAGUGUAGCGGUGAAAUGCGUAGAUAUUAGGAGGAACACCGGUGGCGAAGGCGGCUUACUGGACUGUAACUGACGUUGAGGCUCGAAAGCGUGGGGAGCAAACAGGAUUAGAUACCCCGGUAGUC
rnacentral:rRNA from 1 species